GUGCCAAUGGUGAAACGGUGUACAACCUACACUGAUGUUGUCAGUCUUGCUUUUAUUGCCAACUGAUUGGGUUUUGGUUUGAGAGAAACCAAUUAGAGGAAGGAGGGAUGGAACGUAUUAUAGAAAAGUUUGAGAAGCUUCUGGAAAGGAGUUUUAUCGAGUGUUCUAGGUGUGAGGAAGAGGAGGAGUUCGGUUUUUUUUGGGUGCUCUGAAAACAACCAAGCUCGCGUCGUCGCGUCGAGGCUCAAGCUGCAGCGCCAACGGACGCGGAGAACUCGAGGCGAUGGCGCUUCGUGUUCCUGGCGACGCACCAAGUUCCUCGGGCCUCGCUGGAGUUCUCAUACGCUCCGGAAACACGAGUGGACGAUCCCGAAUUUUCUUGGUUGUUGCAGGCAGGGACAGCGGACGAGAACCCUCCAAGGCCUCCGGAAGUUGCAGAUGGCACUGCACCCGAUCCAUUCCCUUGGUACAGAUCUGCACAAGGUCCGUGGACAGAAAGUGCUGCCCACCCAUGAGACAACUCCCUCCUCCUGCUACAUAGAUCUGCGAAGAGGGAUGUGCAUCAGUGACUUCUUGGCAUGAUCUCCUGGAUACCAGUGGCCCCUGACAGAAGUGGGGGAGGAGACCUUCCAGGCUUCAACAAACAAAAACCGGAUGUAUGCUCAUUAACCUAUUGUUCAUGGCUGAAGUAUAGAGGUUCCAAUCUAGGUUUGUUUAUGAUCAUGUCCCUGCCUUUAAAUCUUGUUCCUAUUGUCUGGAAGUAAACACAUGCUUUAUUGGCCAUUGCAAUAUGAUACAGGUGGUUACGACACACGCUUAUUAAGUACUGGCUUGAUAUGUUUGCAUACAUGAGAUGUGAAGGUAUCUUGUUUCCAUUGCUUUUGUCAUAUGACUGCAUACAAGUGGGAUUUCAGAGGUGCAAGUUGCUUUAAAAAAAAAAAAAAAGGGCCUGCAAAAUGAAUAAAUGCGAAUUUCAGUCUUAAUACUAGGCAAAUUACUUUUAGUCUUAAAAACAGAAUAAUUUUAAUACUAACCAAGUAGAAAGCAGUACCAUCCACCAGUCAGCAUCUGGCAUUGUUUCUGAAUUCAACAUUGUAUAAAAAAAUUAUAUUUUGUUACCCAGAUGUACUUUUAAACUAUGCCCCACACAACACAUUGUGAUCAGAGGUUUAUGAAAUCAGACAUAACUUUCGCAUUCUUAACGGGACAUGCUGCACGUCACAAAUACAACAAAUAAGAGCUCUAAAAUAAACAAUAUGGGCUUUUAAAAAUAAGUAAGCAAAUAAAUAAAUAACAUUCCUAAAACAGGAUGUGGGCUAAGACAGAGCUUUUUUUUUUUCUUACAGGCUUUGCUUUCCAAAAAAACAAGUGGGGAUGAGCCUUUCUGAGAUAGCCUAAAACAGGAAUCAGUUUCCACUCACCCAUGUAAACUCGCCCUUCUCAAGCACAGCAUGUGAUUAAUUUGUUUUGCUAUGGAGUUUACUCUCUUCUGAUUUAGCAAAUGCAGUUAUCCAGAGCAUUUCCGUAUGUAGGCAUGAGUAACACUCAUUUCGUACAUUAUGUACUGAAUGUCUUGUGUCUUUUUCAUGGCUACAGUCGAAUUACCAGCAUUCUGGAGGUUAUGAUUAUAUUACCUGCUGUGGAAUAUGCAGCAGUCAAGCAGUAGUAGUGUCUCAGUACUUUUGUAAUUCACUUUCCAUAUGGCAUUCUUGGUAGAAAAUGAAGAGAACAGCUGUGAGAACAUUUUACACUGAAAAGUAUUUAAGAAUAAGCCCAUUCCUGCUCAUGAAUGCAAGAACCAUGAGUGCAAGUAAUAUAAUUCAAGUUAUUCUAGAGAGCCCCAGAUGUCCUAGAUCAAGACAUGUGAACAAGUUUACUCAAGCACUAAACAAGCAGUCACAUCUUCACUCUUACACUCCCAGAGCAUCCCUUCUAUAGACAAUAUAUACUAAUGUUUAAGAAAAUACAUCUUACCCCU